UGCCCCUUCGCCAAGCGGUCAAGGCACGGGACUUUGACUCCCGGAUCAAUGGUUCAAAUCCAUUAGGGGCAG
rnacentral:tRNA from 1 species